rnacentral:misc_RNA from 1 species
GGCCUUAAAGUUUAUAAAAAUUAAAAGAAAUAGAAAAUCAACACAUGAUCAUGCACGUGAAGACCUUUUGUUUAUGCAUGUCGAUAAAAAUAUGCAUCUGCAUAUUUGUAAAUAUAUAUAAACAGGUAAAUCCAUAAAAACAAAAGGUAUGGUAUGAGUAUCCAUGUAUCUUACACGAGGUAUGUCCAUUAAUUUGAGUAAGGGUGAUAGCUUUGGGCUGUGUCUUGAAAUUUAGACUUGCUCAAAAC